GACCAGACUCCUACGUUAUUCAGCAGUAGGUAAUAUUGCUCAAUUUUGGAAACCCUGAAUCAGCAACGCCGCGUUGAGUAUUAAUGUUUUCGGAUUGUAAACUCCUUUUGUUAGAUAAGAUAAUUACGGUAUCUAACGAAUAAGCACCGGCUAACUCCGUGCCAGCAGCCGCGGUAAUACGGAGGGUGCAAGCGUUACUCGGAAUCACUGGGCGUAAAGAGCGCGUAGGCGGGAUAGCAAGUCAGAUGUGAAAUCCUAUGGCUUAACCAUAGAACUGCAUUUGAAACUGUUAUUCUAGAGUAUGGGAGAGGUAGGUGGAAUUCUUGGUGUAGGGGUAAAAUCCGUAGAGAUCAAGAGGAAUACUCAUUGCGAAGGCGACCUGCUAGAAAAUAACUGACGCUGAUGCGCGAAAGCGUGGGGAGCAAACAGGAUUAGAUACCCCCGUAAC
rnacentral:rRNA from 1 species